AGUUAAGAAUCAUAGGGUCUUUCCGUCUUGUUGUAGGAUGUCUGCAUUUUCACAGACAAUGUAAUUUCGCUGAGUUUAUACUAGAGACAGUGGGGUAGUCGUGACGCCAUUCAUGCAGGACGGAAUUUACCCGCCAAGGAAUUUCGCUACCUGAGGAUCCUUAUAGUUAAGACCGCCGUUUACUUGAGUUUAUGAUACAAGCGUUAACGUGUAUUUUUCGCUUUCAAGCACUGGGCAGGCGUCAAACCUUAUACGUCUUCUUUCGAAUUUGCAAAGUUUUGAGUUUUUGUUAAACAGUCGCUACCCCUAAUUUUUGAAUCCUUUAAGGUACUCCUUGUUGCGAACGUACGGAGCAAAUUUGCCGAGUUCCUUAAGUAUAAUUAUCUCAUUCGUCUUUAUCUGUCGCGAUGACACGUUUUAUGAAGAAGAGUCAUAUUUUUUAAUAUAUUUUUACCUCCACUCACCACAGGUAUGAUAUGGUGAAUUUCUAAUUCGUACAAUAUAUCUCCAUAUUGACUAUUUAAAGAUUCUUUACAUAUAGGGCACAUACCUUUUUGUCUUUUUGCCAGCUUUAAUCGAAUAUUAUUCGUUUGCUGAUUAAAACACAUAUUCAAAGAUCUUUUAUUAAAAUACUCCUCAAACUCACCCAAAUAGGAAUUAGCGUCAAGUUUUAUCAUAGUAGUUCUUUUAAUAGGAGUGUCGGAUAUUUGAAACAAAUUAAUUUUCUUAAAUCUUUUAAAUUCAGUGCUAGUAGACAUUAAUCAAUCUCUAUUAUUCACUUUGUGAUAAAAUUUGGAUUUAAGCGCUUUAGCAUUAAGCUUUGGAUGCUUAAUUUUUAUCAUGCGAUGAAUGGAAUCAAAAACGUAUUUACUUAUUCGGGUAUAAGCUAACUUUGCAGUACUAGACGAGUAAUAAUUUGCUCAGCCCCUUAAUAUUGGAUUUAGUUUUGAGAAAAGCAUUCACAGAGGAAGUUGCGAAUGUUCUUUGACACAAAGUUUUAUUUUAGCUUUUACUUUUUGUAAGCUUUCUUUUGUAGGUUUGUAUAGAAAAAUCUCGGAUUCUACUCGAGAAAUCGGGGAAAAGAAAGGGAUUUUUCUAUACAAACCUACAAAAGAAAGCUUACAAAAAGUAAAAGCUAAAAUAAAACUUUGUGUCAAAGAACAUUCGCAACUUCCUCUGUGAAUGCUUUUCUCAAAACUAAAUCCAAUAUUAAGGGGCUGAGCAAAUUAUUACUCGUCUAGUACUGCAAAGUUAGCUUAUACCCGAAUAAGUAAAUACGUUUUUGAUUCCAUUCAUCGCAUGAUAAAAAUUAAGCAUCCAAAGCUUAAUGCUAAAGCGCUUAAAUCCAAAUUUUAUCACAAAGUGAAUAAUAGAGAUUGAUUAAUGUCUACUAGCACUGAAUUUAAAAGAUUUAAGAAAAUUAAUUUGUUUCAAAUAUCCGACACUCCUAUUAAAAGAACUACUAUGAUAAAACUUGACGCUAAUUCCUAUUUGGGUGAGUUUGAGGAGUAUUUUAAUAAAAGAUCUUUGAAUAUGUGUUUUAAUCAGCAAACGAAUAAUAUUCGAUUAAAGCUGGCAAAAAGACAAAAAGGUAUGUGCCCUAUAUGUAAAGAAUCUUUAAAUAGUCAAUAUGGAGAUAUAUUGUACGAAUUAGAAAUUCACCAUAUCAUACCUGUGGUGAGUGGAGGUAAAAAUAUAUUAAAAAAUAUGACUCUUCUUCAUAAAACGUGUCAUCGCGACAGAGCUGCGUUAGAAAACUUAUACUUAAGGAACUCGGCAAAUUUGCUCCGUACGUUCGCAACAAGGAGUACCUUAAAGGAUUCAAAAAUUAGGGGUAGCGACUGUUUAACAAAAACUCAAAACUUUGCAAAUUCGAAAGAAGACGUAUAAGGUUUGACGCCUGCCCAGUGCUUGAAAGCGAAAAAUACACGUUAACGCUUGUAUCAUAAACUCAAGUAAACGGCGGUCUUAACUAUAAGGAUCCUCAGGUAGCGAAAUUCCUUGGCGGGUAAAUUCCGUCCUGCAUGAAUGGCGUCACGACUACCCCACUGUCUCUAGUAUAAACUCAGCGAAAUUACAUUGUCUGUGAAAAUGCAGACAUCCUACAACAAGACGGAAAGACCCUAUGAUUCUUAACUAUAAUUUUACGUCGCAAUAAUUUUGUGUACAGUACAGUAAAAGUAGGAGUAUACUUAUACAAUUUUGAAAAACUACUCUGUACAUAAGAAAUUGCUUACUGAAGAGAAAAUAUGUAAAAGUGGUAGUUUACUUGGGACGAGGACCUCCUAAACUGUAACGGAGGUGCACAAAAGUAAAUUUUAAUUAGUUUUUUGUAUUAAUAAAAUAUGUAAUGGUAAAAAUUUGCUUGACGGUAAGAGUUACAACUCAAACCGGGACGAAAGUCGGUCAUAAUGAUCCGGCAGUAAUGUAUGGAAAUACUGUCGCUUAUCGGAAAAAAGAAACUCUAGGGAUAACAGAUUUAUCAUGGCUGAGAGUUCUUAUCGACGCCAUGGUUUGAUACCUCGAUGUCGGCUCAUCUUUUCCUGGAGCUGUAACAGGUUCCAAGGGUAUGGUUGUUCGCCAAAUAAUAAGAUACGUGAGCUGGGUUCAGAACGUCGUGAGACAGUUCGGUCCCUAUCUGUUGUGGGUAAGAAAAUGUACUUCUCGUAAAUAGCUAAUCUCCACUUUAGGGAUUAAACUAAUAUUACAGGUAGGAAGCUAGUUCAUACAGAUCUAGUGGGCCUAUGCAUUACUCCUAAUGCUGAUCAAUGAGCUGUGUUACAAGCAGUGAACCCUAUGCAACGUGAAAAUAGUCAUUCACGGAGUAUAAGCAGGGCAUAAAUUUAAGUGGAUGUUACUUAUAAACAUUUUAACUCGAAGAGAAUAUAUAAAUCAGUAAAUCUGUC
rnacentral:rRNA from 1 species